rnacentral:tRNA from 1 species
GCCUGAGUGGCUCAGUUGGUUAAGUCUCUGACUUCAACUCAGGUCAUGAUCUCAUCAUUCACGGGUUCGAGCCCCGCGUCGGGCU